AUGCGAGGAGCCAGGGCUGAAUAUUUGGUAAUCCAGGAUCCGGCAGUAUUCAUGGUUCAUGAAGGUGAGACUGUGUUACUGAACUGCAGCUACUCUGCAAAGGAUGCCAACCUGCUGGUCUGGUACAUGGAACAUCCUGGACAACCUCUAAGAUAUUUAUUGAAGAGAUACCCGACAGGAACUGGUGGAGAUCAAUCCCCGGAUUGCCCAGACCGUUUUUCGGCUGCAGUAGACAAAGAAAGAGCGACGGUUCCACUCAAAAUAUCUGAUGCUCGUAUCUCUGACUCUGCCGUAUUUUUCUGUGCCAUGGUGCCCACAUUAGUGCCGAGCUAUAGAACGCCUCUUCAAAAACCUUUUUAA